UACGAAGGGGGCGAGCGUUGUUCGGAUUUACUGGGCGUAAAGGGCGCGCAGGCGGCUCGAUUUUGUCAGGCGUGAAAGCCCCGGGCUUAACCUGGGAACUGCGUUUGAUACGGAUGGGCUAGAGUUCGGGAGAGGAGAGUGGAAUUCCCAGUGUAGAGGUAGAAAUUCGUAGAUAGUUGGGAAGAACACCGGUGGCGAAGGCGGCUCUCUGGACCGAUACGUGACGCUGAGGCGCGAAAAGCGUGGGGAGCAAACAGGAUUAAGAAACC
rnacentral:rRNA from 1 species